AGAGCAGGAACUCUAGUAACCUGAAUUACAUGUAGUAGUAUCUUGACACAAACUUAUGGAAUUGAACUAUGAAGCCAAUGUGAGAAAGGCAUCUAGAGUUUGAAACCCAGUAUUAUCAAAUGAUCAUAGUAUUUCCAAGGGGAGAUGCUGCUAACAUAGGCUUAAGAGAAAAUGGCUUAGUCUGUAAAAUAAAUAAGGGAAAGAAGUUACAAAAUAAUGAGAGAUUUCAUAGAAGUUUCAUAAUCAAAACUGUUUACAGAUAACUAUAAUUCACUAGAAAAUUGACAAAUCUCAAGUGUUGUGACUGAUUUUCUUAGCUCAAAAAUUUAAUUUAGAGCAUUAUAAAUACCAUCAUAUUAGAUUGCCCCACAUAACUAACCCCAUUCUUUAGGGAAAAUAUUAUAAGAUAGAAGAAAGAAAGCAAAACUAGUAACAUAAUAAAAACAACAAUAACAGCAAAAAGCUCAAAAAAGAUUUAACUAAUAUUUUCCAAUUGCCAAGGCCUGUCUUUAAAUAGACAAUAAAAUUAUCUUAUCACUAUUCAGAUAGCAUCUUCACAUUUUUCACUAUAAUUUUACUCUGUGUCCCAGUAAAUGUCUUACCACUUAAAAUUGAAGCAUUAUAACUCCUUUUUUUGGGAGCAGGCACUCUUCAUGUAACUGUUCAUUAUAAAAUGAAGUCUCAGUAUACCUAAAGUUAGGUUAUUCAAUGUAUGCAUUUUAUGUUUGGAAAAAAAUUUAAAAUAUGAGAAGUUUAACUGUCUAGUUCAAAGCAUUUAGAACCAAGCAGUAGUUGUAAAACUCCAAUGAAAUGCAAUUAUUAUUGUGAACUUAAAUGUGUUUAUAUCUCUAUUUAGAAAUUACUUAGGCACUUGGAAAAUUAAUUUUGAAUUUUUCAGUUUUUACAGUAUUUUUCUGUCAUUAAAUAAAUAAUUAAAAGAGAUAAAGAUUUGCAUGAUAUAGUAGUAACAAUCAAGAUACCUUUAAAAAAUAAGUGAUCUCUUUAAAUCCAGAAAUUCUAACAAUAACUAGUACUUAUUGGACAUUUAUAAUAUGCCAGAUACUGUGUAAGUGCUUUCUCAACAUGCUAUCAUUUAAUCCUCUCAUUAAAAUAAGGAGGAAUACAUUAUUAUUAAACCGAUUUUAUUAAUAAUAGGAGAGCUGAGGAGACUGAGGUUUGGAGAGAUUAACUAGUUCAUCCAUGUUACACAGCUAGCAAGGAGUAUAGCCAAGAUCUAAACCCAUGUGGUCCAACUCCAGAACUUAUGGUUCUAAUCAUUUUUUUUUUACUGUGUACCUCCUUUGGAAAAUCAUGCAGUGGUUUUGGCAGACUAAGCCUUUACUGAAUAGAAUAAGUGAAUUAUGGAAGGAAUAUAUAAAACAUAGUAAAUGGAAUUAAUUUGAAAGAACUUUUUUAUUUAUAAUACACAAGUCAUGUGAAAGCCAAAUGAUUCUUCCUCUUCUAUAGUUAUUUAGUAGGAGCAAGAAUCAUCUUCCUUAAAAAUAUUUCUACUCUUGCCACAUAAAGAAUAAAAUACCUAGGAAUACAGCUAACUAGGGAGGUGAAAGAUCUCUACAAGGAGAACUGCAAACCACUGCUCAAAGAAAUCAGAGAUGACACAAACAAAUGGAAAAACAUUCCAUGCUCAUGGAGAGGAAGAAUCAAUAUCAUGAAAAUGGCUAUACUAUCCAAAGUAAUUCGUAGAUUCAAUGCUAUUCCUAUUAAACUACUCUUGACAUUCUUUACAGAACUAGAGAAAACUAUUUUAAAAUUCAUGUGGAACCAAAUAAAGACCCCAAAUAGCCAAUGCAACCCUAAGCAAAAGAACAAAGCUGGAGGCGUCACACUACCCAACUUCAAACUAUAUUGUAGGGCUACAGUAAUCCAAACAGCAUGGUAUUGGUACCAAAAGAGACACAUAGACCAAUGGAACAGAAUAGAGAAUCCGGAAAUAAAACUGCACACCUACAACUCUCUGAUCUUCAACAAACCUGACAAAAACAAGCAAUGGGGAAAGGACUCCCUAUUCAAUCAAUGGUGCUGGGAUAAUUGGCUAGGCAUAUGAAAAAGAUUGAAGCUGGACCCCUGCCAUAUAUAAAAUCAACAUAAAAUAGAUUAAAGUCUUAAGUGUAAAACCUCAAACUAUAAAAACUCUGGAAGACAACCUAGGCAAUACCAUUCAGGACAUAGGUAUGGGCAAAGAUUUCAUGAUGAAGAUACCAAAAGCAAUUGCAACAAAUGUAAAAAUUGACAAAUAGGACCUAAUUAAACUAAAGAGCUUCUGCACAGCAAAAGAAACUAUCAACAGAGUAAACAGACAAUCUACAGAAUGGGAGGAAGUUUUUGCAAACUAUGCAUCUAACAAAGGUCUAAUAUCCAGCAUCCAUAAGGAACUUAAACAAAUGUACAAAAAACCCCACAAACAAUCCCAUAAAAAAGUGGGCAAAGGUCAAGAACAGACCCUUUUCAAAAGAAGACAUACAUGUGGCCAAAAAUCAUAUAAAAAAAGUUCGACAUUACUGAUCAUUAGAGAAAUGCAAAUCAAAACCACAGUGAGAUACUACCUAACACCAGUUAGAAUGGCUAGUAUCAAAAAGUCAAAAAAUAAUGGAUGCUGGCAAGGUUGUGGAGAAAAAGGAAUGAUUUUACAUUGUUGGUGGGAGUGUAAAUUAGUUCAGCCAUUGUAGAAGACAGUGUGGCAAUGCCUCAAAGACCUAAAGACAGAACUACCAUUUGACCCAGCAAUCCCAUUACUGGGUAUAUACUCAAAGGAAUAGAAAUCAUUCUAUUAUAAAGACUCAUGCAUGUGUAUGUUCAUUGCAGCCCUAUUCACAAUAGCAAAGAUAUGGAAUCAACCUAAAUGCCCAUCAAUGAUAGACUGGCUAAAGAAAAUGUGGUACAUAUACACCACGGAAUACUAUGUAGCCAUAAAAAAGAAUGAGAUCAUGUCCUUUGCAGAGACAUGGAUGGAGCUGAAGGCCAUUAACCUUAGCAAACUAAUACAGGAACAGAAAACCGAAUACCACAUGUUCUCACUUCUAAAUAGGGGCUAAACGAUGAGGACACAUGGACACAUAGAGGGGAACAACACAUCCUGGGGCCUUUUGGAGCCAGGUAGGUGAAGGAGGGAGAGGAUCAGGAAAAAUAACUAAUGGGUACCAGGAUUAAUACCUGAAUGAUGAAAUAAUCUGUACAACAAACCCACAUAACACAAGUUUACCUAUGAAACAAACAUGCACUUGUACCCCUAAAUUUAAAAGUUAAAAAAAAAGCUCUACUCAUACCUCUCUCCUUCUCAGAAGCGCAUAUGGCAAAUCCAAAUGGUGUCCUUUCAAAUCUAGGUGCAGCUAGAUUUGGUCACAUAGUUCAAAUCUGCUUGUAACUUUUGCAGGUGAAUUUGAAACUUCAUUGAUUCCAUCUUCUUCCAGAGGAGUUUUUAAAAUGUUGUUUGCCUCACUACAUGUCAUAGGCCUUCUCUAGAUCAUUCUGCUCACAAAUUCAUGUGAUAAUAAGCAGAUCGCUAAAUAAGAUUGUAUAUAUUUCUUUUUUCCCUGCCUAAGUUCUUACAUUCUUUCUAGAUUUUGAAGCAUUUUUCAUACCAUUUAUAAUUUAUACUUUUGUAAGUCAUGCAUGUAUAUAUUUUAUAAGAGUUUUCCAGUGAAUAGUAGUACAUUUAAUGCAGUUUAUAAAAUUUGGUGUGGAUAGUUGACUGCUGCUUUGCUAACUAUUCUUCUGUGAAUUUUUGGAGCCAUAAAGAAAGAAUAAGAAUUACUUCAAAAAAAUGAGGCACUGGAAUUAAUGGGUUAAUAUCUGUAAAGUGUUCUUAGGAUGGCAUUUUUUAGAAAAACAUUUGCAAAUGGAGAAAAUCACAGACUUCCUGCUGUCCCUUGAUUCAUCCAUAAUUUCAAUGGGACUCUCACUUAAAACUAUCUACAUUGUUGAAAACCCAUUUAAUUUCUCAUUCACAAAAGCAUUCAACUGGUGAUUGCUGCAAACAGGGAAAAUUGCUGCUCAAGUGUUCCAGAUGCCUUGAAAAGAAUGUCGAAAACUUAAAGAUGAGGGAAUUAAUGGCCACAAAGAUAUGGGAAAGCUAUUUAGAAACUUGACUGUUGAUUAUUAUCACUGAGGCCUCGUUAAAUUAGAAAAUGUUAUCUGCUAAUUAAGGCAAACCUAUAGAUAAUUACCCUCUCAUCUCAUUUUAUCUUAUACACAUUCAGUAAACAAUGUCUGGUUGUGACCUCAAAAUCACAUCCUUGCUAACCUCAAACAACAUGAUAACUAUGUCCAAGAGCAAGAAUUUCCAAAGACAAAGCUCCAGUUUAAAACAUUUCAUGAAAAAGACCUCAGAAAAUUGUGUUAUUUUCUCACUGUAACAAACUCUGUCCUUUGUCUUCCCAGUGACUAUAUCAGAAAAAUUUAAAAUGUAAAUUUAAAAUUAAAAUGUCACCAGUAAAAACUAGCAAUAUUCUGUGUGAAAGAGAAUAGUUAAGUUUAGUGCUGGGUGUGCCGUCCCAUCUUUGCCAGAUCAAACUAUCACUUGGUGGGUUUAUUAAGAAUAAAGAUUACUGAGACACUUAAUAAACUCUCACUUUUUUGAGACCCAAGCAUUUGCCUGACACGGUUUUGGUUCACUUGUGUUGAUUAUAAUGCUGAAUCUUUACAACAACCCAUUGAGUUAGGACUUCCCUCACAGAUGAGGAAACUGAGGCUUAGGGAGGUAAUCUGACAACUUUCACUCAAAUAAGGCUCUAACCAGAUCUAGUUGUCUCUCUUAAGCUCCCUGUCUCUUUACAUUUCUAAAGGAAUAACUAGAAGACAAAGAAGUUAAGUACAUACAUAUGUAUUAGACCAGAGGUCCCCAAACUCCUGCCAGGGAUGGGUACCAGUCCAUGGCCUGUUAGGAACUGGACCGCACAGCAGGAGGUGAGUGGCAGAUGGAGAAUGAGCAUUACUGCCUGAGUUCUGCCUCUUGUCAGAUCAGCAGAGGCAUUAGAUUCUCAUAGGAUUGUGAACCCUGUGGUGAGUGAACCCUAUUGUAGACUGCACAUGUGAGGGAUCUAGGUUGUUACGCUCCUUAUGAGAAUCUAAUGCCUGAUGACCUGACAUGCAACAGCUUCAUUCCCAAACCACCCCAUUCCCAGCCCGCUGCAUCCCCCAGGGAAAAAUUGUCUUCCAUGAAACAAGCCCCUGGUGCCAAAAAUGUUGGGGACCGCUGUAUUACACUAUAAGCAUAAUUAUUCUUAAUUCUUAAUGUUUUAAUUGCAAUUUAUUAGAUUUUGGGGGAAAGUAUAGCCACAAAUAUUCAGUCCCUGACAUUUCACCUUCUUGUUUCUUUGGUAAAAAUAAUUAAAGACCAUUUUCCACAUAGUAGGCUUAAUAAGUUUCAGUAAUACAUUCUAGGGUAAGUCAUUUGAUAUUUAUUCUGUGAUUCUUCGUAUUAUCAAAUUUUAUGUUUCUCAAGUAUAUAAGCUUGAGGGAAUAGAAGUAAACAUUUACAUUCUUUUGUAGUAUACCUUUCAAAUCCAUUUCCACUACACACAAGCACACACAAACACACACAUUCUCCCAGAAAUCAGGACAUAAGACAAUGCUUUCUAUACAACUGAUUCUCAAUAAAAAGUAUUAUUCAGGCUAGGAAUGAGAUUUAACCAUAAAAGUGGCUUAUAAUGCAAAUUUUAGUUUUGGGUUUAUUUCCUUUAUAUCUUGUAGAUACCCAAAGUAUGCCCUACGUCUUCUUGAAAUCCUAACAUUUUCAAGGGCAGGACUUUGUCCUUUUCAUAGGGAAUCUGAGAUCGCAAUAUGGUAAGUAUUCAACAGAAGAACUCAGUUCAAUUCUCAAUCCUUUCUACAUAGAUUUUUCACUUAAACAAUUGUAUUUAUUUUGUUGUAAAUGUCAUUCCUUUACUUAUGCCAUAUUUAAUAAGUACUCUAUUAACAAUCUGUUACACUAUUAGCAUUAUGCUUCAUUGUUUAUAAAGCACUUUCAUUAUAGAUCUCAUUUUGUUUGAGGUGAUUUACAAAACAGCACUGUGGUAGAAAUUAUAUCCUCGUUUUACAUGUAAAAAGUAUGACACAGAGGAAUUAAAUUUAAAUGAUUUACUCAAAAUAACAUGGCUAGCAAAACUGAGUUUUUUCAACUACCAAGUCCAAGGAUCCUUCCACUGUGCAAAGGCAUCUCUAAAGCUUCCCGUAUAAUCCAACCAACAUUUGUAUAGCAUCUGGAGUCUUUCAUACACAUCAUCUCAUUUGAUCCUCACAAGACCCAGGGAGGUAGGUAUUUUUAUACCUAUUUUGAUGUCAAUUGCAUUUCUAAAAAUAGAAGGAGAGCAUGUUAUCCCCCAGGGUUUAGGACUAUUUGUGAUGCUAUUGAACCAUUACUUGGGCAUCACACCAUAAAAAUAAAAUUAAAUAAAAUUUUGGUCUAAAAAUGACCUAGAUGGCUAUUCAUUUUCUCAUUUUUUCUCCCUAAAAUAUUCUUCUUCAGAAUAUUACCUUUGUCUCCUAGUCUCUGCAGUGUAUAUAUCAGUUUAGAGCUUGGGCUUCCCUGAAUAGAAUAUGAAGAGACCAAUAUUAUUGUCAGCUUAUGAAUUCUAUUCUAUGCAUUGCAUUAAAUGUUUAUAUUCAUUAUUGAAUUGUAUUCUAUUGCAAUUAUGAUAGAGUUUACCAUAAUUGAUGUUUUAAAAAAUUAAUGAUGAGCAGAACCUGACAGACUGACUCUGACAAUUGGUAUGUGUUUCAAAAUUCUAAAUUGCCUUCUGAAAAAUUGUUUUAUUUGUAUAAAACAGUGAUUUGCAAAAGCAGGUCUAAUGGCUCUUGAGUUCCAGAUGGCUUACAAAGGUAAAAACAAAUUUUAUAGGUACUGUUCCACGUUUUGAAUAAUCAAAUCUCAGAAUUCCAAGUUGACGAAUCUGACAUAAUAUCCAAUUUUGAUUAUUGUCUUUGGUUUGCCUUUUCCAUUUGAAAAUAAAGGAUAAUGAUUUCUUGUAAACAGUAAUAUGUUUUUGUGCAAUAAGGCAGGUAGUCAAAAUGAGAAAAAGUAAGAAAAAAUUGAAUUCCAUGGGUGAUCUUUAGCAAGUAAUGAAAUUUAAGUUUCCUAGAAUAUUAUUCUUCAAAAGAAAAUGUGCUUUAGCACUCAUUCUAUUGUAACAUACCUAAUAUGUAUCUUUAUAAACAGUGGAGAAGGUGGACAAUUCAGCUCCCAUUUAAUAUUUACUCAGUUCAUGCAAUAGGGUAGCAAAAGAUUAAGUUAUGUUAUAAGGACUAAAAACAAUCAGAUUAAUAUUCACUUAUUUAGCAAUGGGAGUCAGGUCUUCAAAUAGCAAGUGCUUGAUGAUAAAAGCUCUUGAGUUAUUAUAAGGAUAAAUAAUUGUUCUAAAUUGCCAUCUUCCAUUGCAAUCAAGAUAAAUUUCUAAGGCGUCUGCUUGAAGAAUAAAUUUUCAGUGAAACACAUUUUAAUCGAAGAGUCUUCACAGUAAACCAUCAAAUAAAAUCAGCAACCAUACCGUCCUUAAAGAACAUUAUAAUUUUGGAAUACAUUUAGUGAACAAAACCUUUGCAACACUGUUCUAAAUCUGAUUUGGGAUGGUGCCUAGCCCAGAAAAAAGCUUUUAUUUGUGAAGAAUACUCUCAAGCUACAAAUAUGUAAUAAAUUUGGCUAUUUAAAUACCACAUAAGCUAUGUAAUUAAUCAACAGAGAUUUUUUCUAACUGUUCAAUUAUAAUUUUCAGCCAUAAAUGACAUAGAAAAACAGAGUUAAAAAUUGUUUCUAAAGAUAAAUGCAGCAAAAAUGUCACCCAGAGCAAGCUUCUCUUAAAUGAGCUUAGCUGAUACUUGUCUAAGAAAAAUUACGUUUCUAAACAAUAAUGGGACACUAGUCAGCAAAAAUUUUGAAGAUAAUGAAAAAAAACCAACAACCCUAUUAUUGCUUUCCUCUCACUUCCACAGGGAUUCCAGUAUAAGAUUCCUCUCUUUCUACGGUCUUAUCAAAAUUUGUGUCCAACUCCUUCACAAAAGACCAAUGAUAGCCAAAAGGUUACCUCUCUAGAUAUUUGCCUUUUACUUUAUAUCAAAGUCUUAAACUACAGGGAUAAAUCUCCCUCAACAGAAAUUUAGGUAUCCGCCGGGUUCUGUCUACAUCACCAUUUCCCUUUGUUCAUUUGCCAUUUCUUAUUUAUUAAAUGUAAAAGCUGGAUAUUUCUUGAUUCAUUAAAAAAUAAAUUUAAAUCUAAUCUAUCCACUUUGCAAAGCAACCAAUGAUCUCCAAAUGCCUGUUACUGCACAGCCUCUCUCUUGAGAAACUAAUAUUUUGACAUAUUAAAAAUAAUUAAACAUUAAAUUUCCAAAGACAAAACAAGAGGCUCAACAGAGAUUGCAGCCACUGAGAGAAGCAAUUACUAAGGAUUUCUCUCUAUAUUGUUUUUUUCUGGGCAUGCUCUAAGGCAGGUAAAGGGACAUAGGUCUUUCUCUUUAUUCUCAUCUCAUGACAGCAAAGCCUGAUGUGGAUGAAAAAGUAAUAAAUAUUUAUUCGUACUCACAUACUUUUUAAUUUAGUGAGGCAUCCGCACAACUUCUUGCAACAUUUUUUGUAAAAGCAAAUGGAAAAAUGAAGAAUGAGAGGGCAAUCUAGUUUAGAUGAAUUAAUAGUUGGUGGAACAAUGGAAGUUUUAAAGAAAAGAUGCCCACUAAAUUCUCUGUGAAUGCUUCAAGCUAAGUGGUCCUCCGCAGUAGUGUCUUGGGACACCAGUAAUUUAUCCCCGAUGGUAAAGCACCAACAUUUCUUAAUUACUUCCUUUAAAAAGUAAAACUGAUUUGAUGUUGUCCCUACGAUAAUACCAUGCUUACUUUAUUUUAUGCUUGUGAUCUUAUUUUUUUAAUGGAAAAGAAGCUUCAGAAUUAGGAGUGCAAUGGGUAUUGUGAACAUGAUACAGAUAUGUAUGUCAAUUAUCUGUGUCAUGGUGGAAAAAAGAUAGAAAGUCAUACAACAAUGGCACAGCCCAGAAUUCUUUCUCAUUCAAUAUCCUACCAACAGCCUGAUUGAAGAAAUGAAGGUGUAUGUUGAGCUCUAAAGCACCUACUUAACAAACAAUGAGAAAAAUGUUUGAAAAAUACUCCCCUUGAUUUAAAAAGGCUAAAAAGUAUAGACUUAGUAGUGGACUAUGAGGGAACUCUGCUUUAGGGUUUGAUACAUGCCUGCCAAAUUAGCUCUUUAGAACACAGAACACAGGGUAUUCAUUGGUGAUGGCGGGUGCUGCUGUCCAACUGGUAAUUUAUUUGACUACACCAAAGGAAGGGUCAGCUGACCUGCAGAGGAACGAGAACGGCAAUAGAAAGAGCAGAGUUUUCAGUGUAGACAGGCUUUUUGGAAAAUUGACCCUGACAAUUACUGACCUUGUGAGGCUACUCAAGUUCUUUACAUCUUAGUUCCUUGGCUGUGAAGUCCUUCUUUAGACCGUGUUAUCAAGGAAUAUAGGAGACGACUUACAUAAAGUGCACAGCAUAGUGCUUGGCACAUAGUGACCCCUUAGGAUGCAUGAGCUACUUUCAUUAUUGAUACUGUAGCCUACACAGUUCCCUGAAAGGAAGCCAUGUGGAGUGCAAGGCCCCCAUGAGCCAGAUAAAUUGAUGUUUAUGGGUUAGUUCUUUUAAACAGAGGAACAGGAAGAGAAUGUUCUCUAUGAUCAAACAUAUGUUUACAGUUGCCAGAAAGGAAUUUCCUAAUUACCAUGAACACUGAAGAGGACUUAAGGCUGGAGUUCUGGAUGAUAGCAGAAGCAGCCAAAUAGAUGAAAUUACUGAAAUGACACCCUGUGUGCAGUAGGUGUCCCACUCAGUGUGACGUCUCUGGGUGCAUAUACAUAAGGCAGGCAAAUACAGAUAAUGCUGUGGUUAUUUGCAGGGUGCUGUGGGGAUAGUUCUUAAAGGCUAAUGUAAUAUUCUAAUUAUGGAUCAAUUCUGAUUUGAACCUUUUAAAAUUGUGUGCACCUUGGUGGAUGAGAUUUCUCAGGAACAUUCAUUGUAUCUGUGCACAGUACAUAUAAUGAAUUGUAGAUCCUUAUACUUGAAGCUGUGGAAAGAGACAGAUGAUUGAAAACUCUGCCUGAAAUCUAGAAUAAUGGGCCCACAUAAAUAAAAUAAAGUUUAUUCAACUCUAUCUACACCAUAAAAAAUUAAUAGAGAAAAUGUAAAGUCUUGCAUUUAAUUUCAAAACAAAAUUGCUGCUUCUUUGUAAGUAUUGGAUGAGUUAAGAUUUACCUCGGCAGUUAAUGUGAAAAAAUAACUAAGGGUUUUUAUGGACUAAAACUCAUUAGGCACCAGUAAAAUGUUGUAAAUGCUAAAAAAAGAAAAAGCUAAUGCAAUACUAGGUUACAUUAGCAUAUAGUGCUCAGCACAAAAAUAGUAGCAGUUUCACUGAAUUCUGAGAAGGCCAGAGAGAAGCUGCAUGAUUUUGUUUAGCUCUAGAUGUCAUAUUUUAAGAGGAACAGUGAAUAGAAUGGUCUCUGUUCAAAGGAGAGUAUAAAGUUUUGUAAAUCAAGCAACAUAAACCGUUGAAGGAAUUGGAAAUAUUAAAUUUCGAGAAUAUAAGGCAGUGUGGUGUCAUCUUUUGAAGUGCAUUUUGCCCACAGGGAUUUUUUCUUUAGCUUGCAUAGUAUUUAAAAUAAUGAGUCACAUUAUCAAUGGGAGGCUUCACCUAAUAUUUUAAGUUUCCACCUUCCCUUACAAAAUCUGAAAUUUGAGCAACACAGAGCUUUGGGGGUUUGCCACCUUUUUAGAUGGAGUUUUACUCUCCAUUUUGCAAUAGUUCUCACCAUUCCUUAUUGUACACAAAACUGAAUUCAAGUAUCUGGUGCUCUUAACAUCAUCUUACAUUGUUGCUUUCUUAUGGUAGAGAAAUACUUGUUUCCAUGUUUCAGUCAAAAUACAGAAAAAUGAGAAUAGAGUAAGAAGAUCACAUAUUUCAAGAAAACCUUUUCUUUGUGUGUGGAAUCGAACAAUAUGUCUUCAUAGUUAAAAGAAGCAUGCCAGUGUCAGAAGCAUACAAUUCCAGAUAUCCUUAGGGAAAGACCCAGCUAGGGUCUCUCAUAUGUUACUUACUUGUGUCUUCUGUAAGCAUUUGGGUUUGAUAUUAUACUCUAUAAAGAAGUAAGAGCAAUGUAUAAAAAUUAAAGGAGGAUAGGCUUUGUGUAGGCUGGGUGCAGUAUGAAACAUGAGGGCUUCCAAGAAAGAGCCUCAGGCUCAAAUCCCUACUCAGUCACUUACUAGCUCUGUGACCCUGGGAAUGUUACUAAACCUCAGAUGUUCUUCAGUUGUAAAAUAGACAGUUGAUUAUCUGUUAUGCAGUUAUAAGUAUUUUAAAUCAGAUGUAAAAUGUCUUACACAUGUCAGCAUCCAUUAUAUAGUAGUAGUUUUAGUAUUUUAUUAAAUAGUAUUAUUUGGCAUAAGGCAUGCAUCACUUAACAACGAUGGAAUACAGUCUGAAAAAUGCAUUGUUAGGUGAUUUUGUCACUGAGCAAACAUUAUAGAGUGUACUUACACAAAUCUAGAUGGUAUGGCCUUUUACACUGCUAGGUUAUAUGGUGUAGCCUUUUUCUCCUAGGCUACAAACCUAGCAUGUGACUGUACUGAAUACUCUAGGCAAAACUGUAACACAAUGGUAAGUAUUUGUACUUUAAAUGUAUUUAAACAUAGAAAAGGUAAAGUAAAAAUACAGUCUUAUAAUCCCCCACUUUUUUGAGACAGGAUCUCACUCUGUUGCCCAGGCUGGAUUGCAGUGGCACAAUCUUGGCUCACUACAACCUUUGCCUCCUGGGCUCAAGUGAUCCUUCUGCCUUAGCAUCCUGAGUACCUGGGACUACAGGUGCACCCACCAUACCUGGCUAAUAUUUUUUGUGUUUUUUAAAAAAUAGAUAUGGGUUUUUGCUAUAUUGCCUAGGAUGGUCUCGAGCUCUUGGGCUCAAACGAUCCACCUGCCUGGAACUCCCAAAAUGUUGAGACUCCAGGUGUGAGCCACUGCGCCUGGCCCAGUCUUAUAAUUUUAUGGACCACUAUCAUAAAUGCAGUCUGUCAUUGAUCAAAAGGUCAUUAUGCACCACAUGACUUCUGCUAAGUAUAGCUUACUCUAAGGUUCUAUGCUUGAAACCUUUACUAUUUCUUUAUAUUUUUUCUCUUGGCAAUCUUUUAUGCCACAGCACCAAUUCUCACUAUGAAUAGAUGAUUUGCAAAUUUACAUCUCUAGAUUUGCCCCAUCUCCAGAAAUAUAGACCACAUUUUCAACUAUUCUUGGGUCAUUUUCACUUGAUGUCUUGGCAGCACUUUCAACAUAGCAUAUCUAGAACUGAAAUUUUUACUCUUCUCCAACUAAACUGCUAUAUUUCUUAACUUCUCUGUAUCUCUUAUUGGGACCAUUUUUCUCUCAAUACCUAAAGAUCAUCAGUUAUCAAGACCUAGAAAUGACAUCUUCACAGUAUGUCUUGAAUCUGUCUCCUUUCAUUUAUUUCUAAUGCUUUCCCUUAGUUCACGUGAACAUAACUUCUUAGCCAGACUUUUUAUUUUGUAAGUGGCUUCAUCCACUUCCAUGGUUUCAUUGACCACAUCACUUAGAUGCAUCCAAAAUCAAUACCUCUAGUUCUAUCUUCUUUUCUGAGCUAGGGCCAAUAUUCCAACUGCCUGCUGGGGAUCCCACAUGUAAGUCCUACUUAUAUUUCAACCUCAGCAUGUCCAAAGCCAAACUUGAUGUCAUAGCCCAACAUGAUCUUCUUUUUGCCCUUUUGGUCUUAAAGACAUUACCUCAUCAGCCAUCUUAGACAUCACUUAAAUGUCUCUCCCUCACCAUCUGCAUUCAGUAGCACAACAAAGCCUAAUAGUUCUAUUUUCUAAAUAUCUUAAAACAUGAUCAUUUCUUCCCUUCAAUCACAACCGCCAUUUAUUCUCAACAUCUCCAUUAUAUUUCCAUGUAAUACUCAGUAAGUAUUUUUGCAACACUCAAUAAGUAUUUUUGCAAUUAAUUUAUGUUCUCAUUUACUCAGUGGCUGGAACCAGUGAUCAAUUCUACUUUUGCCUAAGUUAUUAUACAAUAUUUCAUAGAUUCUGAGAUGCAUUCCCUGCUACAUUUUAACUCCGAGAAAUUGGAAUGUAUCUAAUAACAGACGGUGUUUAACUGGAAGUAUUUUUCUUUCUUAGGAUUUCUUAAAAUUAAUGUGCUCUACAGUCGAUGGUGCCUUAGAUUUGAUGAAACAUGCUAAUGGUUUUCUGUGUACAGUAAUCUCCCUUUCUCCAUGGGGGUUACGUUCCAAUUUCCCCAGUGGAGGCCUGAAGCCUUAGAUAGUACUGAACCCUAGAUAUACUAUUUUUUUCCUACAUAUACAUACCUAUGAUAAAGUUUAACGUAUAAAUUAGGCACAGUGAGAGAGUAACAACAAUUACCAUAAUAAGAUAGAACAAUUAUAAUAAUAUACUGUAAUAAAAGUUACAUGAACAUGGUCUAUCUCUCUGUCUCUCUCUGUCUCAAAAUACUGUAAUAUUUUCAAUCUGUGGUUGACCACAGGUAACUGAAACCUUGGAAAGCAAUCCACAGAUAAGGGGGGACUACUCAACCUUCCCAGCCAUUCUGUCUUCUGUUUCCUCUUUCUGUCUUCACUCCCCAGUACUCUCUUUGUCAGUCCUCAGGAUAAGUCUUAGAAAACAAAAUGCUGAAUAUGAUAUGUAUGCAUCAUCUCUAAACCUACCUAAUUUCUACAUUUUGCGUUUUCUAUAAUUUGGAGAGAAUCCACCAGCCUAUGCUCCACCUUACUGUUCACCUCUCUUUCCUUGCUUUGGAAACCUUUGCUGUCUCUCUAUUGUUUGCAGGAUAAAGUGCAAACUCUUCAGCAAAGCAUAAGAGGCCUUUUCCAAUCUGGUCCUAAUGUAAUUUCCCCGCCUUUCUUCAUUUCUCUGACAUACUUUAAAUGCCAUUUUUUACAGACUUCAUCAAGGUUCCUUGAACAAACUGUGUUGCCUCAGGACAUGCUACAUGUUUUGCCUUGAAAUACUUUUCUUUGACUAUAAAUUCAACCUAUCUUUUAUCAAUUUUUUUUUUUUGAGACAAGGUUUCACUUGUCACCCAGGCUGGAGUUCAGUGGCGUGAUCACAGCUCACUGCAGCCUCGACUUCCUGGGCUCAAGUGAUUCUCCUGCAUCAGCCUCCAAAAUAGCUGGGACUACAGGUGUGCUCCACUACAGCCAGAUAUUUUUGUAUUUUUUGUAGAGAUGGGUUUUCACCAUGUUGCCCAGGCUGGUCUUGAACUCCUGAGCUCAAGCGAUCCACCUGACUCAGCCUCCUAAAGUGCUGGGAUUACAGGUAUGAGCCACCAUGCCUGGCCUUUUAUCAUCUAUUAUUAUUACUCAGAAAUAUUUCCUGGUUCCCCUGAAAGGGUCACUCUCUUAUUUUAGGUGAUUAUAGCAGGGGUCCCCAAACUACAGGCCAUGGACCAGUACUGGUGUGUGGCCUCUCAGGACCAAGGCCACACAGCAGGAGGUGAGUGGCAGGUAAGCAGCAAAGCUUCAUUUGUAUUUACAGCCCCUCUUCAUCGCUCACAUUACUACCUGAGCUCCACCUCUUGUCAGAUCAGCAGUGACAUUAGAUACUUCCAGGAGGGCCAACCCUAUUGUGAACUGUGCAUGUGAGGAAUCUGGGUUGUGUGCUCCCUAUGAGAAUUUAAUGCCUGAUGAUCUGUCAUUGUCUCCCAUCACCCCCAGAUGGGACCAUCUAGUUGUAGGACAAUAAGCUCAGGGAUCGCACUGAUUCUACAUGAUAGUGAGUUAUGUAGUUACUUGUACAUAUGUAGUUACUUGUAACAUAUGUAUAUAUGUUACAAUGUAAUAAUAAUAGAAAUAAAGUGCAUGAUAAAUGUAGUGUGCUUGAAUCACCCCGAAACCACCCCGUUCAUUCCCCACUGGUCCAUGGAAAAAUCGUCUUCCAUGAAACUGGUCCCCAAUGCCAAAAUUGGGGACUGCUCCUUUAUACCAUGGUGGAUGUAAAUGUGGACUCUGGAGUCAGCUGCCUGAGUUUGAGUCCUAGUUUCAGAGGUAUUAAUAAAUAAAUUAGUAAGUCACUUAACCUCUCUGUGCUUUAUUUUCUCUAUUAGUAAAAUGGGGGAUAAUAAUAGCAACCAUGUGAAAAGUUGUUGGGAGAAUUAUUGGGUUAAUAUACUUAAAUCACUUAGAAGAAUUCCAGGGCAUAGUAAGGUUAAAGCUCUUAGUACAAAGUCCUAUAAUUGUUUGCCUUUCCAAUUAUAAAGCCAGUCUUUCACUGGCAGUGACAAUAUCCUGUUUUUUCCUUAUAUUCUUAAUACCCAAUCUAGUUCCUGACAUUUGUCCAAUACUCCAUAAGUAUUUAUUAGAUGAACAGUACCAUCAAACCAACAUGGAAUGGAAGCACAUAUUUAUCAUAUAAGGUCAAAUGAGUACAUUAUUUUUGUCAGGUUCUUUGUACAGACAGAGUUAAACAUGUUUAGGUUUCAUUUAAAGUGGGGGACUUUUUGUCACUUUCUAUUUCAAAAAAGAAGUCUCUAAAUAGCGACGGGAUGGAGGUUGAUUCUGAAGUAGCUAUUUUGGUUUUUUCACCUAGUGUCAGUCUGUCUUUUGCAAUUUUUAAUUGCCCAAGGUGCAUAACCUGGUGUCAUACUUCAGCCACCUGCAUCAAUGCAAAGGGUGAAUGAUAGUCAUGCCUAUAGGAUGUGGUGCUUUUAAAGGUCACUGCUAAAAAGUUCCCUUGCAAUAAACGGCAAGCAGUUCACUUUGUCUUGCGUGACAAGCUUGCCUGACAGUGGAAAGGAGAGGGUACUAACUGCAGCAGGUGCAGAGGUGGCAGGAGCAGGGAUGGGUGACCCAGACCCAGGAUCAGUCUAGGCAGUCUACUUGAACUCUACAAGUUCCUCUUCUCUGCACCUCACCCUGACACCGCCUUUCCCUCCUCCUCUUUUCCUCCCCAUCAGUCUGUCUCUCUCUUGCCUAAGCCAAUUCUAGAGGUGAAGCUCUGGACACUUCCUGCCUGUAUUGGUGAGGGGAAAGGUGACCUGGAAGUGUUUGCUUGUGACAAGUGACAGUCAUGCUCGCCAAGUAGGACCCUUCUCUGAGUGAAGUCACUGAGUACAUCUAAUCAGAACCUUUAAGUUGUGUUAAAUUUUGAUGAUUUUUGAUUAAAUAAUUGAAUUAAAAAUUAACUGAACAGGCCAGGUGCGGUGGCUCACGCCUGUAAUCCCAGUACUUUGGGAGGCUGAGGCGGGCAGAUCACAAGGUCAGGAGAUCAAGACCAUCCUGGCUAACACGGUGAAACCCUGUCUCUACUAAAAAUACAAAAAAUUAGCCAGGCAUGGUGGCAUGUGCCUGUAGUCCCAGCUACUUGGGAAGCUGAGGCAGGAGAAUUGCUUGAACUUGGGAGGCAGAGGUUGCAGUGAGCUGAGAUCAUGCCACUGCACUCCAGCCUGGGAGACAGAGCGAGACUCCAUAACAACAACAACAACAAGAACAACAACAACAACAACAACAACAACAGCAGCAACAACCACAACAAUUAACUGAACAGCCUACAGUUUUCAGGCAGUUUGGGGGUAAGAAUAGUCUCUGAAGGCAAACAACCUUAAAGGGUUACACACAUACACAGAUAAUUUACCCGUACAAGCCAUCUGUGUAUACAAGGAACACCAGUGAGCUUCCCUGAUUAAAAUGAGGUCAUACGGCCUCGCUCACUGAUGGUGGGCUUUCUAAGUCAGAUAAACCUCUCUGGAUUAGCUUCACAAUUCUGUCAGUUCAUUCUGUCAAACCCUAUUGAGUUCCGGUUUUGUCACUUGUAAAAUGAAUAAUAAUAAUACUCAUCUUGUCCAAGGUUGUUCUUAGUAUGAAGUCGUAUAUGUAACACACUUGGCAUACGGUACUUGAUAGAUAUACAAUGACCAGAUGUUAGACCUAAGUAGAUUUUAAUAUGUUUUUCCUCUAGGAAGAUUGGUUAGAGACUGAGUACAUGAUUUAGUAAUUUGCUCCACACAUGUAACAAUGGCUGAUUAGGCAAUCAAGUUAUCCACUGAGGUUAUGUAAUUGUUAACAAAUUCCCAUCUCACGUUGGUUGGUUGAAAGUAUUCAAGUUCUACUCUGUGAAGAGGAAAUACACAAGAGAGGCCGGAAGGCAACAGAAGAAUUCCCUUUGGCUUUUUCCCUUCUGAAAUGGAGUCAUCACUAAAAGUCUGUCAGAGAAGUUUGUUCCAUUUUAAUGCACAUUUUAAAAGUGAAACUAGAUAUUUGUAAUUGUGAUAAAGAAUGCAUUGAUGGAAACAUAACUGUAAUAGGCUGUCUUUUCUGAUAUAUAAAGUACAUUAAAACAUAUUUUGUGUUAUUUAGGGACAUCACUGUGAAUCUAGGACACUACUAAAUUACUCACAGAUUUUAAACAAAAUCUUUACAGUUGAUUUGAUGCCUAGAUGAGAAGAAAGUUUUACCCUAUUUUAAAAGAAUAUAAUGUCAACAGAGAAACUCAGGCAUGUUUGGAUUGUUAAUGCCUCAGAGACAAUGAUUACAGCUGAGUAUGGAUUUCUAUAUUAACACUGGGAUCCUAGGGAGUCCCUGCCUUCCAACAUCUGAAUUUUUAACUAAUGAGGAUGAACAGCAUCCCUUCUGAUAUUCAGAGACAGAGCCUCUAUAAUCCCUCUUGGCAGCCCAUUCUAAUAUUUGAUUAGCUCUUCAAUAAAAUGAUUUUUCUUAUAUCUCUUUAUAAUCUCUUGCUUUAUUUUUAUCUCUCUUACAUUUGUUUGGUCUUUCAUGGCAAUGAACAUAGUUCUUUAGCUUGUCCUUUAGCAAGAUGUAUUUUUCUGUUUUUAUAAUAUAUUUUCAUUGUUUCCAUUAACUUGAUGUUGAUAUACUUUUAAUUUCUACACUUGGCUCAUAAAUUUAGCUAAAUAUUUAUUUUUAUGUUUUCUUGCUCAUCAGAUCCUGAGCUUAAGAGCUUAGAAGAGUGAAAUUGUGGUGCCAUGGCCAUAUGGCUGUUUCAUGUGGGAGUAGAGAUAAUUUCCUGGCUCUUUCAUAUGUUUCUUGGUAGAUGUAUUCAGUAAUAAGCACCUCUAAGUGGUGCAAUAUGCCUUCAGUGGAGUGAAACAGCAUUUUUUUCCCCCAAAACCUUAGUUGUCAUGUUGAUUCCAAGGCCUCAAGUCCAUAUGCUUUUCCCUCUAAACUUAUCUUCACACAUUCCAGGUGAAACUAUGAAGCAAUAUGUCCUCAGUGACCCUUUCACGAAGUGUUUGAAGUUCUCUCCGUUUGUUACUAUGUGGUCCUCAUUUAGUUAUCACAUGCCCCAACACCAUUAUUUUCUAAAUGCUUCACUCUACAGGGAUUUUCCUGCUUCUCAUCAAAAUGGUUUCAUAAAAGUUUUAACAGAAGAUUGGAAGGAGUUUGCUGCCCACUCAUAAUGAUGCUUCAAAAAAAAGUUCUUCGGAAUGGAUCAAAGGCUGUAAUUUCCCUGCCAUUUCUGUCCAAUUUUCUUUUCUCCUAAUGUUUUCAUUUUUUGAAAUGCCUAUGAUUGCAAUCCAAUUUUGCCCACACAGCACUGCAUGCCUAAAUGAACCAUUUAUCACAAACUUUUUGUCUUUUUGAUGCGUGAGAUUUUAUUUGCUUAGAAAUCUUUUUUUUCAUUAAUGUUUACAACUCAAGCUGCAUUACAAUUACCUUCAGUAAGUAAUUACUACCUGUUGUGGAUUAUAUUAUUCUGUUCUCCAGAUGUGGCAUCAAAACUUCCUAUUUCAAACCAAUUAUAUGUUAGUGCUGAAAUUCAUUACUAUUUCACCAAAUACAAAUUCCCUUAUACAUCCUUGAAAAAUUUUACGUUUGACCCUCACCCUGACUUACAAAUACUAAAACAUUAAAAUAUUCAGGAUUGAUAUUUCAUAUUUCUUCCUGUAGGUAAUCUCAGACUUUUAUGAACUCAUUAGGUAUAACAGUUCCUUUGUGUCAGUUGACAUAUUUUUAAUCAUUGUGAUGGGACUGUUCAAGUUAAUUAUUAGCUACUUGCAUUUGGUACUGAAUGUAUUGUAAGAAAUGUAGUUAUAGUUAUCAAACUUUUGAGUUUAAGAUCUGUUAAUACUGUUUAACCUCACAAAGCCUACUUAAAAUUGUCCAAAUUUAAGUUACAAUUAUUGUAACGAACAUUGUAACACUCUUUUUCCCCCAGUUUCAAAAUUCACAAAAAUAUUUUAAAAAUCAGUGUAAGUCUAGAAAAAAAAUAGGCUGUACACCUUAAACAUACUUCAGCUCCUUUCUUUGUCUUUUAAUUUUCAAGAAAGUUUGUGAUUAGGGGAACACUAAGAAUAUAUUUUCUAAAGGCCUGUCUUUCCUUUUCAUAUACUUAGAAAAUAAAGGAGAUAAUAGCUAAGAAUAAAUAUUAUAUUAGCUAAGAGGUGGAGGAAGAGAGCAAAUAUGAAGAGUAGACAGCUUAAUUUUUGGUAAUGAUUACAAAGAUUCAGUUUACAAACAAUGUGUACAUUCUGAAGAUUUAUUUAUUUUUUAAAGUAGAUAUAUGCUGGCCGGGCACGGUGGCUCACACCUGUAAUCCCAGCACUUUGGGAGGCCAAGGCAGGCAAAUCAUAAGGUGAGGAGUUCGAGACCAGCCUGGCCAAUAUGGUGAAACCCCUUCUCUACUAAAAAUACAAAAAUUAGCCGGACAUGGUGGUGGGCGCCUGUAAUCCCAGCUAAUCAGGAGGCUGAGGCAGGAGAAUGGCCUGAACCCGGGAAGCAGAGCUUGCAGUGAGCUGAGAUCGUGCCAUUGUGCUCUAGCCUGGGCGACAGAGUGAGACUCCAUCUCAAAAAAAAGUAGUAGAUAUAUGCUGUUUAGCCUUUUAUCUCCUUUACUUUGUAGACACUUUACACAAUUUUUUUAAAACCCAGGUCAGAUCUAAAAACGUUCAGAAAACAUCCUUUGAUGAACUUCAAUGGCCUCUGUUUAUUCUUCUACCAUAUCAUUUCAUAAGGUCAUGUUUUAAAGUUUAUUAUUUUCCAGAAUUGUUGAAGUACAGACACUCCUUUUUGUUUAAUUAUUAAUGUCUCCUGGCUUCUGAGGUGAAUGUCUGGAGAAGAUUAGCAUUUCACACUACUCAAAGCAUUGUCUUCUCAAACUGGAAGUUUGGGUUAAGGCCUCUGUACUGUGGUGUGGUGGUGUUGUAGGCUUUGAAGUCAGAAUGAGGGUUGAAUUCUAAAACUUUCAUAAUUAUCUGUGUGGUCUUCAGAAAGGUAAUGAACUUUCUUAGGCCUCAGUUUUCUCUAAAGUGACGAAGAUUGAAUGAGACAGUACAGGGAAAGAGCCUGACAUACAGCUGACAGUUCCAGUCCUUCCAAUGGACUGUUUCCUACAACAACAUUAAUUGACAUUGUCUUGUAACUUGCGUUCUACUCUAAAGUGUGAGGACGGAGUAGUGUGUUGUCUGAGGGUGUAUGAAUGUGCUGCCUGUCUGUGGGAAUAUGUUUAGGGCUGAAAGAUGGUUAGGACACAGGCUGUACAUUCUCAUGAUUAAAAACUCCUUGAAGUCUGAA